rnacentral:rRNA from 2 species
UUAGGGAUAUUCGUCAAUGGGGGAAACCCUGAACGAGCAAUGCCGCGUGAAUGAUGACGGUCCUCUGGAUUGUAAAAUUCUGUUGUUGGGGAAGAACGACUUAUGUAGGAAAUGACAUAAGAGUGACGGUACCCUUCAAGAAAGCUCCGGCUAACUACGUGCCAGCAGCCGCGGUAAUACGUAGGGAGCAAGCGUUAUCCGAAUUUAUUGGGUGUAAAGGGUGUGUAGGCGGUUUAUUAAGUCUAUGGUUUAAGUCCGAAGCUUAACUUCGGUUCGCCAUAGAAACUGAUAUUCUUGAGUAUGGUAGAGGCAAGUGGAAUUUCUAGUGUAGCGGUAAAAUGCGUAGAUAUUAGAAGGAACACCAGUGGCGAAGGCGACUUGCUGGGCCAUUACUGACGCUGAGACACGAAAGCGUGGGGAGCAAAUAGG